GCCUGGGUGGCUCAGUCGGUUAAGCAUCCAACUUCGGCUUGGGUCAUGAUUUCGCAGUUCGUGGGUUCGAGCCCCAUGUCGGGCU
rnacentral:tRNA from 1 species